UACGUAGGGUCCGAGCGUUGUCCGGAAUUACUGGGCGUAAAGAGCUCGUAGGUGGUUUGUCGCGUUGUUCGUGAAAACUCACAGCUCAACUGUGGGCGUGCGGGCGAUACGGGCAGACUAGAGUACUGCAGGGGAGACUGGAAUUCCUGGUGUAGCGGUGGAAUGCGCAGAUAUCAGGAGGAACACCGAUGGCGAAGGCAGAUCUCUGGGCCGUAACUGACGCUGAGGAGCGAAAGCGUGGGGAGCGAACAGG
rnacentral:rRNA from 1 species